rnacentral:rRNA from 1 species
UCAUAUCGACGGCGGUGUUUGGCACCUCGAUGUCGGCUCAUCACAUCCUGGGGCUGAAGUCGGUCCCAAGGGUAUGGCUGUUCGCCAUUUAAAGUGGUACGCGAGCUGGGUUUAGAACGUCGUGAGACAGUUCGGUCCCUAUCUGCCGUGGGCGUUGGAAGAUUGAAGGGGGCUGCUCCUAGUACGAGAGGACCGGAGUGGACGAACC